AGGAAGCCUAAUUGCUACAAUUAAUGCAUUAAAUGGCAUGAGAGGUCUUUAACUGCUCAUAAAUCAAAUGCUAUUAAGAAUUGCUGAGAUUUUUCUCUGAAGCUGGUUUAGUAAGCUAGUAGGCC